GACGAACGCUGGCGGCGUGCUUAACACAUGCAAGUCGAACGGAAAGGCCCUGCUUUUGUGGGGUGCUCGAGUGGCGAACGGGUGAGUAACACGUGAGUAACCUGCCCUUGACUUUGGGAUAACUUCAGGAAACUGGGGCUAAUACCGGAUAGGAGCUCCUGCUGCAUGGUGGGGGUUGGAAAGUUUCGGCGGUGGGGGAUGGACUCGCGGCUUAUCAGCUUGUUGGUGGGGUAGUGGCUUACCAAGGCUUUGACGGGUAGCCGGCCUGAGAGGGUGACCGGCCACCUUGGGACUGAGAGACGGCCCAGACUCCUACGGGAGGCAGCAGUGGGGAAUAUUGCACAAUGGGCGGAAGCCUGAGGCAGCAACGCCGCGUGCGGGAUGACGGCCUUCGGGUUGUAAACCGCUUUCGCCUGUGACGAAGCGUGAGUGACGGUAAUGGGUAAAGAAGCACCGGCUAACUACGUG
rnacentral:rRNA from 1 species